rnacentral:rRNA from 1 species
UUUUGCGCAAUGGGCGAAAGCCUGACGCAGCAACGCCGCGUGUGUGAUGAAGGUCUUUGGAUUGUAAAGCACUUUCGACCGGGAAGAAAACCCGUUGGCUAACAUCCAACGGCUUGACGGUACCGGGAGAAGAAGCACCGGCUAACUCUGUGCCAGCAGCCGCGGUAAUACAGAGGGUGCAAGCGUUGUUCGGAAUUAUUGGGCGUAAAGCGCGUGUAGGCGGCGUGACAAGUCGGGUGUGAAAGCCCUCAGCUCAACUGAGGAAGUGCGCCCGAAACUGUCGUGCUUGAGUGCCGGAGAGGGUGGCGGAAUUCCCCAAGUAGAGGUGAAAUUCGUAGAUAUGGGGAGGAACACCGGUGGCGAAGGCGGCCACCUGGACGGCAACUGACGCUGAGACGCGAAAGCGUGGGGAGCAAACAGGAUUAGAUACCCUGGUAGUCCACGCCGUAAACGAUGAGAACUAGGUGUCGUGGGAGUUGACCCCCGCGGUGCCGAAGCUAACGCAUUAAGUUCUCCGCCUGGGAAGUAC